rnacentral:tRNA from 1 species
UAGUGGUUAGUUUAAUAAAAACAAAUGAUUUCGACUCAUUAAAUUAUGUUAAUACACAUAACUACUAA